AUGAACAAAAUUCUGAGGAGCUGUGCCUUAGGUUUUAACUCAAGGAAUCUUUCCACUUUAGAUAAUCUAAGACAAAUUACACUGUUAAACUUUCAGCUUCUUACUUUCUACCUCCCUAACUUCCUUUUGUACUCUCAGAGCUGCUUGCAAGUCUACAGUAUACAGGAGAUAAGUGAUGGAGCUUUAAAACAAGAAAAAAGCCAGGAAAGAUAAUGAUAACAUAUGAGUUUUAACCACAGAUCCUUUCAGUGCUGUGGUUUACUGCAAAUCUUUGCAGAGGCAGAUGCAUACCCAACAGAACCAGCAGUUCAGGAACAUGAUUGAGAGCCAGAAGAACCUUCACAUGGCUUAAGCACAAUGACAGAAGUAAUAUGAAGACCUCGAGAUGCUGACCGUCCCUGUGCAAAAGGUCACACCUCCCACUGAGCUCUCAGCAGCAAACCAUACAAGCAUUAACACUUAUAUCAAAAUAUAUGGCAAAUAGCUGGAAAUGCAGAGUGGAAUAGCACAACCCACUCUAGCUCAAAUCUCAGACAAGAAGUGUCUUAUAACAGUAGUGCUUUACUCAAACCAUCAUGAUGAGUCUCGCAAUUUUGCGAAAUAUUGAAAUAUUGAGAGUAUGACUUCUUCCACAUUCUCAGUCUACUCAGAGGAAGAAACACUGAGAGCUAGGACUAGACAGCUCUGAGAACAGAACAGACACAAGAGAGGGAAAUAGAAAGCUCUGCAAGAUAGGUAGGGCAUGAAGCUGGAGUCUCCACUGAGACACAAAGCCUGUAGCAGUAGGGCAAGCAGCAUGCUGGUACAUGCUCAGACCAGCAAGUGCAUGCAACAUGCCCCAUUCUAAACCCAACAAGCAGAUACUUAGCCAGAGCAGAUACUUAGCCUCCAGCAUUUUGCAUUUGAUGCUAGAGAUAGAAGGCAGAAGUUCCUUCCAGAAAACAGCCAAGAUACACAGUUACAGAGACCAGGAACAUUCCUGUGCUUAAGGUACUGGCAUGCAACUGGUUGCAAGAGUUUGUCCUGUUAGGCAGUGAGCUACAGCAUGGAAGCUUCACAUGCUGUCUCCAGCUAUAAAAAUGGGAAGCCAAGGCUAAAAGCACAUAGAGUUAGCACCACACCCCUGAGCCAGUUUAUGCCUUGAGGAAAAACGUCUGCCUACAACAAUAUGGGGGCAUCCUCUUAUAAUCCAUAUUUAUUCGUAAAAAUCCAUAUAUAAAAUCUUCUGUUUCCUUUUACAAAAGCAAAGGCAGAUGAGCCUACUCAAUCUCUAACCUCCAUGGACUGAUGGUCUGACACUUCCCCCCCACCCUGUUCCUCCCCCUUGCUUUCUCCUCCAGUCCAUGUUUCUUCAUGCUUCCUUCAGUUUCAGGUCCAAUUCUGCACUUGCAAAGAUGAAGUACACACAUACACUCACACACACUCACACACACAGAGGAGAUGGAGAGGUGGUGUGGGCUGUGCGUG
rnacentral:lncRNA from 1 species